UACGUUCCCAGGCAUGUAGCUGGCAACAGCCUCAGGCCUCCCUCCCUUCCUUGCCCCACCUCCCAAAGCUUUCCCUGCCACCCCUCCUUCUUUCCUCCACUGCCCCCCCUCUUACUGGCUGCCUCUCUCCCUCCCUCUUUCCCUCGCAGUCUUAAUGACUUCCACAUGGGCUUCUGGCAUUCUGAGCAUUGUCUGAAAUCUCCAAAUUUAGAAGAAAUAUGAAAAUUGUCAAGCACGCCUUCCUUAGGGGGUAAAACCAACAUUCGCUUGAACUGUCGCAGGUCAAGGCAGCGGGACCACGUGGCCAGGCCCCAGCCAAUGGCUGCCCUCAGGACCACUGACAGAUGAGGCCGUCAGCCGUGCAGCAUCGUCUUUCAGCUCAUAUAAGGUAAAAGUAAAAGGUUUUCCAGAUUCUGAGCAGUGAGGGAAAAGUUUUCACCCAGGACCCCUUGUGCUAGCAGCUUAAAAAAGGAGUGUCCACACUGGUCUUCCAGUGUGGCCCUCUGUGUUUCGCAGAGAGGAGAUGGCGCCCACCUUCCCCAUCCUCACCAAGGGCCUAGUGCAUGACAGGUGUGGGCAAGAACAGGAUUGGCUACUUGGGGAAGCAGUCACACGUCUGAGGACUGGAAGCCUUGCAAAGGACAAUGGACAGCCCAUCUUGAGGAAGAGUCGCAGAUGGCAAGCUAGCUCAGGACGCUAGUCCAUAGCAAGACUGUGACUGGUGUCAGUCCAUCAAAACCUAGUUUCAGCCAAUUUUGCUUCUCUUUUAAAAUGAGCGUGAGGUCACGAUAUCAUUGUGAGUGUGAUGAUGGUAAUGAUGUUAUUGGUCCAAUAUGUUACACUGCCCAACCUUGCCAUAAACAAUCCUAGGAA